UACGUAGGGGGCAAGCGUUGUCCGGAUUUACUGGGCGUAAAGAGCGUGUAGGCGGCCAAGCAGGUCCGUUGUGAAAACUGGAGGCUUAACCUCCAGACGUCGACGGAAACCGCGCGGCUAGAGUCCGGAAGAGGAGAGUGGAAUUCCUGGUGUAGCGGUGAAAUGCGCCAGAUAUCAGGAAGAACACCAAUGGCGAAGGCAGCUCCUCUGGGACGGUAC
rnacentral:rRNA from 1 species